rnacentral:rRNA from 1 species
CGCGAAACCUUUACACUGCACGACAGUGCGAUAGGGGAACUCCGAGUGCGAGGGCAUAGAGCCCUCGCUUUUCUGCACCGUAAGGUGGUGCAGGAACAAGUGCUGGGCAAGACCGGUGCCAGCCGCCGCGGUAAUACCGGCAGCACGAGUGAUGGCCGAUCUUAUUGGGCCUAAAGCGUCCGUAGCUGGCCGUGCAAGUCCGUCGGGAAAUCCAGUGGCUCAACCUCUGGGCUUCCGGCGGAAACUGCUCGGCUUGGGACCGGAAGACUCGAGGGGUACGUUCGGGGUAGGAGUGAAAUCCCGUAAUCCUGAACGGACCACUGAUGGCGAAAGCACCUCGAGAGCACGGAUCCGACAGUGAGGGACGAAAGCUAGGGUCUCGAACCGGAUUAGAUACCCGGGUAGUCCUAGCUGUUAACGAUGCCCGCUCGGUUCGGCGCAGGCUACGAGCCUGUGCCGCGCCUCAGUGAAGACGUAAGCGGGCCGCCUGGGAAGUACGUCCGCAAGGAUGAAACUUAAAGGAAUUGGCGAGGGAGCACUACAACCGGAGGAGCCUGCGGUUUAAUUG